rnacentral:rRNA from 1 species
AACGAACGCUGGCGGCAUGCCUAACACAUGCAAGUCGAACGAGACCUUCGGGUCUAGUGGCGCACGGGUGCGUAACGCGUGGGAACCUGCCCUUAGGUUCGGAAUAACUCCCCGAAAGGGGUGCUAAUACCGGAUAAUGUCUUCGGACCAAAGAUUUAUCGCCUUUGGAUGGGCCCGCGUUGGAUUAGCUAGUUGGAAGGGUAAAAGUCUACCAAGGCGACGAUCCAUAGCUGGUCUGAGAGGAUGAUCAGCCACACUGGGACUGAGACACGGCCCAGACUCCUACGGGAGGCAGCAGUGGGGAAUAUUGGACAAUGGGCGAAAGCCUGAUCCAGCAAUGCCGCGUGAGUGAUGAAGGCCUUAGGGUUGUAAAGCUCUUUUACCCGGGAUGAUAAUGACAGUACCGGGAGAAUAAGCUCCGGCUAACUCCGUG